rnacentral:rRNA from 1 species
UAACACAUGCAAGUCGAGCGAGACCUUUCGGUUUAGCGGCGGACGGGUUAGUAACGCGUGGGAACGUGCCCUUUUCUACGGAAUAGUCUCGGGAAACUGAGGGUAAUACCGUAUACGCCCUUCGGGGGAAAGAUUUAUCGGAGAAGGAUCGGCCCGCGUCUGAUUAGAUAGUUGGUGGGGUAAUGGCCUACCAAGUCUACGAUCAGUAGCUGGUUUUAGAGGAUGAUCAGCAACACUGGGACUGAGACACGGCCCAGACUCCUACGGGAGGCAGCAGUGGGGAAUCUUAGACAAUGGGCGCAAGCCUGAUCUAGCCAUGCCGCGUGAGUGAUGAAGGCCUUAGGGUCGUAAAGCUCUUUCGCCAGGGAUGAUAAUGACAGUACCUGGUAAAGAAACCCCGGCUAACUCCGUGCCAGCAGCCGCGGUAAUACGGAGGGGGUUAGCGUUGUUCGGAAUUACUGGGCGUAAAGCGCACGUAGGCGGAUCAGAAAGUUGGGGGUGAAAUCCCGGGGCUCAACCCCGGAACGGCCUCCAAAACUCCUGGUCUUGAGUUCGAGAGAGGUGAGUGGAAUUCCGAGUGUAGAGGUGAAAUUCGUAGAUAUUCGGAGGAACACCAGUGGCGAAGGCGGCUCACUGGCUCGAUACUGACGCUGAGGUGCGAAAGUGUGGGGAGCAAACAGGAUUAGAUACCCUGGUAGUCCACACCGUAAACGAUGAAUGCCAGUCGUCGGG